AACCUACGGGAGGCAGCAGUGGGGGAUAUUGCACAAUGGGGGGAACCCUGAUGCAGCGACGCCGCGUGGGUGAAGAAGCGCCUCGGCGCGUAAAGCCCUGUCAGCAGGGAAGAAAAUGACGGUACCUGAAGAAGAAGCCCCGGCUAACUACGUGCCAGCAGCCGCGGUAAUACGGAGGAUGCGAGCGUUAUCCGGAUUUAUUGGGUUUAAAGGGUGCGCAGGCGGUCUGUUAAGUCAGCGGUCAAAGCCCGGGGCUCAACCCCGGCCCGCCGUUGAAACUGGCAGUCUCGAGUUGGAGAGAAGUA
rnacentral:rRNA from 1 species